rnacentral:rRNA from 1 species
CAGGCCUAACACAUGCAAGUCGAGCUUCCCAGCAAUGGGAGCGGCGGANGGGUGAAUAACACGUGGGAAUAUGCCUUUCGGUUCGNAAUAACGCAGGGAAACUUGCGCUAAUACUNUAUACGCCCUUCGGGGGAAAGAUUUAUCGCCGAAAGAUUAGCUCGCGUCUGAUUANCUAGUUGGUGAGGUAACGGCCCACCAAGNCGAAGAUCGGUAGCCGGCCUGAGAGGGCACACNNCCACNCUGGCACUGAAACNCGGGCCAGACUCCUUCGGGAGGCAGCAGUGGGGAAUCUUGCACAAUGGAGGAAACUCUGAUGCAGCGACUUCCGCGUGAGUGAUGAAGCCCCUCGGGGUGUAAAGCUCUUUNGNCGGGAAAGAUGAUGACGGUACCCGAAGAAGAAGCUGCGGCUAAUCUAUNGUGCCAGCANCCGCGGUAAUAC